rnacentral:tRNA from 1 species
AGUAGGAUGGCUGAAUAAGGUGAUAAAUUGUAAAUUUAUUUAAGGAUUAGUUGUGAAUAAUCCUUCUACUA